rnacentral:tRNA from 1 species
CGGCAUGUAGCUCAAUGGUCAGAGCGAGGGACUCAUAACCCCGAGGUUGACGGUUCAAGUCCGUCCGUGCCGA